UACGAAGGGGGCUAGCGUUGCUCGGAAUGACUGGGCGUAAAGGGCGCGUAGGCGGUUUGGACAGUCAGGCGUGAAAUUCCUGGGCUUAACCUGGGGGCUGCGCUUGAUACAUCCAGACUUGAGUGGGGAAGAGGGUCGUGGAAUUCCCAGUGUAGAGGUGAAAUUCGUAGAUAUUGGGAAGAACCCCGGUGGCGAAGGCGGCGACCUGGUCCUUUACUGACGCUGAGGCGCGAAAGCGUGGGGAGCAAACAGG
rnacentral:rRNA from 1 species